rnacentral:rRNA from 1 species
UAAUACAUGCAGUCGAGCGAUGAGGCUCCUUCGGGAGUACAUCAGCGGCGAACGGGUGAGUAACACGUGGGUGACUUGCCCCGAAGAUGGGGAUAACCUCGGGAAACGGGGGCUAAUACCCAAUGUGCUCGGUGAUUCGGUUCAUCGAGUAAAGCUCCGGCGCUUCGGGAGAGGCCUGCGGCCCAUCAGCUAGUUGGUAGGGUAACGGCCUACCAAGGCAGAGACGGGUAGGGGGCGUGAGAGCGCGGACCCCCACACUGGCACUGAGAUACGGGCCAGACUCCUACGGGAGGCAGCAGUAAGGGAUAUUGCGCAAUGGACGAAAGUCAGACGCAGCGACGCCGCGUGGGCGAUGAAGGCCUUCGGGUUGUAAAGCCCUUUUAUGGGGGAAGAGAAAAAGGACGGUACCCCAGGAAUAAGUCCCGGCUAACUACGUGCCAGCAGCCGCGGUAAAACGUAGGGGACAAGCGUUAUCCGGAUUCACUGGGCGUAAAGAGCGUUGAGGCGGUUCCGUAAGUUGGGCGUGAAAGCUCCGGGCUUAACUCGGAGAUGUCGUUCAAUACUGCGGGGCUUGAGGACAGCAGAGGAAGGUGGAAUUCCCGGUGUAGUGGUGAAAUGCGUAGAUAUCGGGAGGAACA